GGGCGCAAGCGUUGUCCGGAAUUAUUGGGCGGAAAGAGCUCGUAGGCGGUCUGUCACGUCUGCUGUGAAAACCCGGGGCUUAACCCCGGGCUUGCAGUGGAUACGGGCAGACUAGAGGCAGGUAGGGGAGAAUGGAAUUCCCGGUGUAGCGGUGAAAUGCGCAGAUAUCGGGAGGAACACCGGUGGCGAAGGCGGUUCUCUGGGCCUGACCUGACGCUGAGGAGCGAAAGCGUGGGGAGCGAACAGG
rnacentral:rRNA from 1 species